rnacentral:rRNA from 1 species
UGAGGAAUUAUGCGCAAUGGACGAAAGUCUGACGCUGCGACGUCGCGUGGGUGAUGAAGGUCUUCGGAUCGUAAAGCCCUGUCGGGAGGGAAGAAACACUCCGGACCUAAUACGUCCGGGAAUUGACGGUACCUCCUAAGGAAGCACCGGCUAACUCCGUGCCAGCAGCCGCGGUAAUACGGAGGGUGCUAGCGUUGUUCGGAAUCACUGGGCGUAAAGGGCGUGUAGGCGGGUCGUUAAGUUGGGGGUGAAAUCCCGAGGCUCAACCUCGGAACUGCCUUCAAAACUGGCGACCUGGACUCAAGCAGAGGCAAGUGGAAUUGCGAGUGUAGAGGUGAAAUUCGUAGAUAUUCGCAGGAACACCAGUGGCGAAGGCGACUUGCUGGGCUUGUAGUGACGCUGAGACGCGAAAGCGUGGGGAGCAAACAGGAUUAGAUACCCUUGUAGUCCCUGAGCGGGCUGGCAAGGCGCAU